GUUGGGGAACACGGUUUGGGUGGCAUGCUCUACUACAUCGGGAGGGUAAUCUAUGCGGAUGUCAGAGAGAAGCGGGGUCCGGAUCUCAUCGUAGAACCUGCAAAGAAGAGAAAACUGAGGCACAGACAGCCUUCAAGGUCUACCUAAAGUCACAUAUUAAACUCAAAUCUGACUACUUUAAAAGAAAAUGUCAUGAGCCAAGCAUGGUGGUACACACAAGAAUCACCAAAUACUGUGGAGUCAGAGGCAGCAGUAUAACAAAUUCAAGGCCAUUUGGGGAAUUUAGCAAGAUCCACAUCUCAAACUAAAAUAACAGAGGGGCUAGCUCACUGCAGAUGAGAGAAAAGGAAAAGGUACCCUUAGCUCUGGGUUCUUAUUACAUCUACCCUCAACCCCUGGUUAUGAGAAGACCGACAACAUACCCGAUGAGCUGCGCUCCUGCCUUCUCCUCCUCCUGAACGCGCCUUGUGAGACCGCAGUUCUCCAGGGAAAGUUUCUCUAACAGUUUGAAGUCCACAUCAUUGCCGAUGCCAAUGGUGAAGAUGCAGAUCUGACCUCCGGUGGCUUCCUUGGUAUUGCUGAGAAUCUUGAGGGUGUUGGUCUCCCCAAAGGUGGGUUUCCCAUCGGUGAGGAAGAUGAUGAGGGACACGCUUCGAUCUUCGAUGUCAUUCUGGGCCACGUAGUUGUUGAGCAGUUUGAUGGCAGUCUGAAGGGCCCCAUUGAUGUCUGUGCCUGUAGGACAUCAACACAGGACAACUCAUAGCUCCUACCUCUGAAUGCACAGUCACGGCUGUAGCUAGCCUUCAGCUGUUCAGAGUCUGGGUGGUGACUUUUUGGUUUACCUAGAAAUCUGACAAGUGUUUGCUAACUAUAUGUAAGUGAUCUGUAUUUGUCCUACCAUAAAAACCUUCGGUGACCAGGGAGUUAUACACACACACACACACACACACACACACACACACAAACACUGAGUGUGGCAAACCCUUGCAAUCCUAAUGCAGGGGAGGCAAACAUAGGCAGAAGCCUGGAGCUUUUUGGCCAGCCAACCUAGCCUAUUUGGUGAGUUUCAGGUCAGAGUAAGACUCUAAAAUAACAACAACAACAACAACAACAACAACAUGUCCAUCACUGAGGAAUGACACCUGAGGCUGUCCCCUGAUCUUCACAUGCAUGCUCAUUCACACACACACACACACACACACACACACAC